UCAACUUAUGGCCCCAAUUUGACAAAAUAUUUUGAGAUUAUAAGUUAUUGGAUUUCAUGAAAUAUGCAGUCAUAAAGUGAAUAUAAAUUGCGCGUUCAAUAAAAUAUGUUGUGAUAGUGAAGUUCCACCAACUUAAACACGAUAGAGAAAAACUCUAAAAACAAGAGUCUAUUGUACUUCAAAUAGGCAACGUUUGACUUUUGGAAAAAAAGAAAUCGUUUUUGAAAAAUUUUGCCAUUUCCACCAAACAUUGAGGGCUUGUUACCAAGAAAUUUUAUAUACAACUAGGUUUUUCGUCUGUAUGAGAAUUCCACUCACAUAAUGAUAUCCUGAAGGAAUUUAUCUUUAUAUAUUUGCAAUUAAAAUUGGGAAUAGAAAUCAAACUGAUAUAAGAAAGUGAUUUUUUUUAGCCCAUUUAUAUAUUUCACGUAGACUCUUUAGCCGCAUAACGACUCCAC
rnacentral:lncRNA from 1 species